CCCAGGAGCCACAAGUGGCAACCACUUUUAUUGGGCCUAAAGCGUCCGUAGCCGGCCUGGUAAAUUUCCUGUGAAAUCGUUGGGCUUAACCUAACGCCGUGCAGGAAAGACUACUGGGCUAGGGACCGAAAAGCGUCAGAGGUAUUCCUGAGGGAGCGGUAAAAUGCUAUAAUCUCAGGAGGACCCCCUGUGGCGAAGGCGUCUGACGAGAACGGAUCCGACGGUGAGGGACGAAAGCUAGGGGAGCAAACCGG
rnacentral:rRNA from 1 species